rnacentral:rRNA from 1 species
UUUAACUUGGGAGUCAGAACAUGGGUGAUAAGGUCCGUGUUCGAAAGGGAAACAGCCCAGACCACCAGCUAAGGUCCCAAAAUAUAUGUUAAGUGGAAAAGGAUGUGGCGUUGCCCAGACAACUAGGAUGUUGGCUUAGAAGCAGCCAUCAUUUAAAGAGUGCGUAAUAGCUCACUAGUCGAGUGACACUGCGCCGAAAAUGUACCGGGGCUAAACAUAUUACCGAAGCUGUGGAUUGUCCUUUGGACAAUGGUAGGAGAGCGUUCUAAGGGCGUUGAAGCAUGAUCGUAAGGACAUGUGGAGCGCUUAGAAGUGAGAAUGCCGGUGUGAGUAGCGAAAGACGGGUGAGAAUCCCGUCCACCGAUUGACUAAGGUUUCCAGAGGAAGGCUCGUCCGCUCUGGGUUAGUCGGGUCCUAAGCUGAGGCCGACAGGCGUAGGCGAUGGAUAACAGGUUGAUAUUCCUGUACCACCUAUAAUCGUUUUAAUCGAUGGGGGGACGCAGUAGGAUAGGCGAAGCGUGCGAUUGGAUUGCACGUCUAAGCAGUAAGGCUGAGUAUUAGGCAAAUCCGGUACUCGUUAAGGCUGAGCUGUGAUGGGGAGAAGACAUUGAGUCUUCGAGUCGUUGAUUUCACACUGCCGAGAAAAGCCUCUAGAUAGAAAAUAGGUGCCCGUACCGCAAACCGACACAGGUAGUCAAGAUGAGAAUUCUAAGGUGAGCGAGCGAACUCUCGUUAAGGAACUCGGCAAAAUGACCCCGUAACUUCGGGAGAAGGGGUGCUCUUUAGGGUUAACGCCCAGAAGAGCCGCAGUGAAUAGGCCCAAGCGACUGUUUAUCAAAAACACAGGUCUCUGCUAAACCGUAAGGUGAUGUAUAGGGGCUGACGCCUGCCCGGUGCUGGAAGGUUAAGAGGAGUGGUUAGCUUCUGCGAAGCUACGAAUCGAAGCCCCAGUAAACGGCGGCCGUAACUAUAACGGUCCUAAGGUAGCGAAAUUCCUUGUCGGGUAAGUUCCGACCCGCACGAAAGGCGUAACGAUUUGGGCACUGUCUCAACGAGAGACUCGGUGAAAUCAUAGUACCUGUGAAGAUGCAGGUUACCCGCGACAGGACGGAAAGACCCCGUGGAGCUUUACUGUAGCCUGAUAUUGAAAUUCGGCACAGCUUGUACAGGAUAGGUAGGAGCCUUUGAAACGUGAGCGCUAGCUUACGUGGAGGCGCUGGUGGGAUACUACCCUAGCUGUGUUGGCUUUCUAACCCGCACCACUUAUCGUGGUGGGAGACAGUGUCAGGCGGGCAGUUUGACUGGGGCGGUCGCCUCCUAAAAGGUAACGGAGGCGCUCAAAGGUUCCCUCAGAAUGGUUGGAAAUCAUUCAUAGAGUGUAAAGGCAUAAGGGAGCUUGACUGCGAGACCUACAAGUCGAGCAGGGUCGAAAGACGGACUUAGUGAUCCGGUGGUUCCGCAUGGAAGGGCCAUCGCUCAACGGAUAAAAGCUACCCCGGGGAUAACAGGCUUAUCUCCCCCAAGAGUUCACAUCGACGGGGAGGUUUGGCACCUCGAUGUCGGCUCAUCGCAUCCUGGGGCUGUAGUCGGUCCCAAGGGUUGGGCUGUUCGCCCAUUAAAGCGGUACGCGAGCUGGGUUCAGAACGUCGUGAGACAGUUCGGUCCCUAUCCGUCGUGGGCGUAGGAAAUUUGAGAGGAGCUGUCCUUAGUACGAGAGGACCGGGAUGGACAUACCUCUGGUGUACCAGUUGUCGUGCCAACGGCAUAGCUGGGUAGCUAUGUGUGGACGGGAUAAGUGCUGAAAGCAUCUAAGCAUGAAGCCCCCCUCAAGAUGAGAUUUCCCAACUUCGGUUAUAAGAUCCCUCAAAGAUGAUGAGGUUAAUAGGUUCGAGGUGGAAGCAUGGUGACAUGUGGAGCUGACGAAUACUAAUCGAUCGAAGACUUAAUCAA